UAUGUACUGUCUAUGGUUAGUCAUGACAGUUACGGAAAUACGGGGGGAGGGGCGAGCUUGCUCUGUUUUGUUUGAAAUGUACUUGGAACAUCAGCAGAAGUGACCAUGCAGGAACUCUAAGUGCAC